rnacentral:SRP_RNA from 1 species
GCCGGGCUUGGUGGCGCGUGCCUGUAAUCCCAGCUACUCAGGAGACUGAGGCAGGAGACUCACUUGAGCCUGGGAGGCAGAGGUUGCAGUGAGCCAAGAUUGCGCCACUGCAUUCCAGCCUGGGCAACAGAGUGAGACCCUGUCUCAA